rnacentral:lncRNA from 1 species
UUGUGGAAGCCCCGGGAACUGUUGUUUUAAGAGAAGUAAAAUGGUUUCCGCUCUGUCCUCAAAAAGCUCUCUUUUCUCCGAACUUAUAAUCGAUGAACUCCAAGCGGAUUUUGUAUCCUUUUGAUUCAUUUUUCUUUUCCAAAUAACUAUAGAAGCUUCUAUCUUGUUCUUAAGAUCAAGAACAGUUAGCUCUGUUGAGAGAUCCAUUGUUGAUAGAAACUGCCCCGGGUCAAAGGAGUCAACUGUGAUAUUCUUGUAGAUUGUUUCUCCAAGGCUUUCUCUUCCAUUCUGUUAAAGAUCCCUCAGUUUACUUCAUGUUGGGAGAUCGUCGAUAUAAUCCUCAGGGAUCUCCAUUUCCGCAAGUAUUUCUGCAUUUAUAGCCAUGGAAGCUUUCAAAACUUGAUUAACACAAUCCUUUUGAUACUGCAUCCAUUUUCUU